UUCAGCAGUGGUUACAAGCAAACUGCAGUUCAACUCCUCAUCUCCAGUGCCCAGUCAGGAUCUGGUCCUCAAAGCUAUCAGUGAUCUCCGAAACUCCAGAGAGUCACAACUCAAUGAAUCAGUCAAGCUGCUGAAUGUGACCUACAACAAAAUCUCUGAAACCUCCUAUGAGGUCAAAUUAACAUUUGCUGUGAGUAACGUCAGCAUGCCAGUGGACAUUAAACAAAGAAACAGCACCUUAACACAUCUCCAGGAUGUUGUCAAUGUUGCGGUGAACACUCUUCUGAAUGAGCCUGGGAAAG